rnacentral:lncRNA from 1 species
GCAGGCCUGGAGGCCAUGGAAGUGAGUGUUGCAAUCUUGGCACACCCCGUGUCUCCACUGCCCGCCUGCUGGCCUGUGGCUUUCUGACAGAGCCGGGGGACAGAAGUGGUUACCCCAGCAGUGUCCUCUGGCCUGGGUGAGGAGCCUGGGGUCCCUGUUGCCCUCUGCUGAACAGGUGUUUCCAGGCGUGCACAAGGGCUGAUUGACUGAGGACCACGUCGGAGAGCUUUGGAUGUCCUCACGGUGAGAGGUGAAGGACUCACACAGUCUGAACUUAUCCCUCCAAAGGGGACCAGUGGGAGACAUUUGACUGGGUGGGAACAUGGGAGGAUGCCAGCAAGGAGGUCCCUGAGUU